UACGAAGGACCCGAGCGUUAUCCGGAUUUAUUGGGUUUAAAGGGUGCGUAGGCGUCCUGGAAAGUUACGGUUGAAAUCUCCUUGCUCAACAAGGAAACUGGCCGUAAAACUAUCAGGAUUGAGUACAUUUGAAGCGGGCGGAAUGUGUCAUGUAGCGGUGAAAUGCUUAGAUAUGACACAGAACACCAAUUGCGAAGGCAGCUCGCUAAACUGUAACUGACGCUGAGGCACGAAAGCUAGGGGAGCGAAAGGG
rnacentral:rRNA from 1 species